CCUGGCGGCCUUAGCGCGGUGGUCCCACCUGACCCCAUGCCGAACUCAGAAGUGAAACGCCGUAGCGCCGAUGGUAGUGUGGGGUCUCCCCAUGCGAGAGUAGGGAACUGCCGUGC
rnacentral:rRNA from 1 species